AGGAAAGGUUUUGUCUCGGGGAGGGUAGGCUUCUCCUAAAAAGAGAAUUCUGGAAGUCAACAUAAUUAAACAAAGAGGAAAAUGUGCCAGACAGGAGUGGGUGGGGGCUGUUUUCUCUUCGUGGUUGGUUGUGGUGCGCGUUCAAGAUUCCUCGCCUAAGAUGAGGUUCCUGAGCUUCCAGUAGGCGACUGACUGCCCGAUAGACCCAGGGCUCCGCGAGGAGAUGGCGCAGGUGUCGAGGCUCCCGGCAGGCCAGGAAAAAGUGUCCGAACGCCUCGCGGACUGCAGCGGGGGAAAUGUCCCUUAAAAGUGCGACGAAGUGGGGAAGAAGGUGAGUGGGGACUGUUGUCCUGUUUACCUCUCUCCCCUCAACUCGCCCCGCUCCCCG
rnacentral:lncRNA from 1 species